AUAUAUAUCAGUGGUGCAUUAUUCUAGUCAUACAAACUUUACGAGGGUGGGGCUAAAAAUCCACUAAAGAGCACAUCGUUGAAGUUUCUUAGUAUUGCGCGAAAUGCCAGUUUUGUGUGGUAUUAGGGAGUAAAGAGAUUAGGGUAUUAUAUAAUGGCAUAUAUAAAACUCCCUGAUUUCGUGGAGACUUAAAUAAUCAUUUGAGUAUAACCUAUGUUGAGUGCCAAGACACGAAAUACAUAGUGUAGCUUGUCUUGAGUGAAUAUAUUGGGAUUAAUACAAAAAGAAAAUAAACUUAUUUGGCCAAAUAAAUUUAUUUUAUAUUAUGAAACUAUAUUUGCAAAAAAGACUAGUAAAGGGAAUUUGUGUGUUAAGGAAAACUUCUAGAAUGUUUGCCAAAAUAUGGCAAGGAAGUUUUAGGAUUAAGGUACAGAUUUAAGUGGUAAUCUGGUAGCUAUUGAAAUAUAUAGAUGUUCUUCUUAAACGGAAACGGUUCUAACAGUAAUGUUAAGCGAAGGAUAGAGAAAUUCAACCAGACCUAAACUGUAAAAUUUACUUAAACUUUUACCAUUAAAGA
rnacentral:sRNA from 1 species